GUAUUCUCAAAACCUAACCCGAAGCCUUCUCGUUCUUCUCGGUCUCUUCGCCGAUUAGAAAAUCAAACCCACGGAGAAAAAAAACCCCCCUAGAUUUUCUCCCCAAUUCUACAUAAAAUCCGGCAACGUCGACUGCGGGAGAUUUGAUACCCUCCUUCCUCGUCGUCGAGAACCCUAAUUCUUCCUCAGUUUGUCAAAAGACUCCAUAGAGGGCGAGCAAGAGAUCCAAUCUCCUCCUCCAUCGUCAGUUACUCGCUCGAUUUGAGGUUUGAUACUUGCAGCAACAGGCCGAUUACAGGCGUAUCUGAGUAGCCUUCCAGAUUUGAGAUCAAAAGUCCCUCAACCACAUUAGUUUAUCCCCAGUUAAGUUUUGGGGAAUGUGCUAAGGAAGUUCAAGUUCGAGUUAAAGACUAAAGCAUCAGUGACAUCAGUGUUCCCAUAAACUGGUGUAUCUGUAAAGGAACAAUUCCAAUUCCAGGAGUCAAGUCAGUUGAACAAGCAGAAGAGAACCUGGGUUCGCUUGGAUGGCGUCUUAGAUCAGAUGAGAUUGAUGAGCUUCAGUAUGCAGCAACAAAUUCGUCUACUAAGAUGAUACAGAAUAUAUUUCAAACUAGAUGAAUGGAUGCAUUACUGUAAAUCUCAAAUAUUGUUAUAAUAUCACAGUGAGAUAUAUCGAGAUAUCAUAGAAAGCAUCAAAAGAUAUAGUUAUUUAGUUAUUAGCUUGACUUGGGUGAUAGUUUCAAUAUUAGUAUGACGUUGCUCUUA